rnacentral:misc_RNA from 1 species
UUUCCGUAGGUGAACCUGCGGAAGGAWCAUUGAAUCCAUCCACAUCCACACGCGAAUUAUAACGUACCCCUCACCAGGCUGAAAAGCCUCUUGAGCGGCUGGCUCUCGGGCUGGUCGGGCUCCUAGUUUACUAGGAGUUGGCAAAACAUUUACACACCCAACCAAACUGUCUGUCUGAAGCUGAAUCUAUCUAGCCCAGCUAGUAGAAUUAACUAAGACAACUCUCUACAACGGAUAUCUUGGCUCUCGCAACGAUGAAGAACGCAGCGAAAUGCGAUACGUAGUGUGAAUUGCAGAAUUCCGUGAAUCAUCAAAACUUUGAAA